GCAGCAUAAGCAGCCUUCCUCUGACUUUGCUCUUGAGCAGAGCGGCUAAAUUAAACCCCACCGGGACUUUUUGGUUUUCAUUUCUCUUAAAAGCUUCAUUGUCUUAUUUUUAUUUUAAAAAAAUAAAAUAAGGAGAAGACCAUCAUGAUCAGCCGAAACUUUAAGAAUGUGUUGGUGGUCUCCAUUGGAUUUCUGUCUCUGUUUACGGCUUAUGGAGGCCUGCAGAGCUUACAGCUGCUGGACAUUUUCACCUGGCACCAUGUUGCUGCACUGCCAUCUAGUGGACAAACUGAGGCGAUGCUUUUCAAAGAGGCCUGUCAAGUUUUUUCUGUCAAAGCUCCAUAACUGAUUUCAGCUAACAAAUCAACAACCAUCUCCUUUCAGGGCGAUAUUUGUGGGCGUGACGGGGAACCAUCAUCUGCUGCCUGGAGGAGAAGCCGGGCGACAGAGGCAAGCUGGCCGGCGCCUCAGGAAACUACGCCACCGUCAUCGACCACAACCCCGAGACCA